GACGAACGCUGGCGCCGCUCCUAACACAUGCAAGUCGAACGAGCGAGAGAGAGCUUGCUUUCUCAAGCGAGUGGCGAACGGGUGAGUAACGCGUGAGGAACCUGCCUCAAAGAGGGGGACAACAGUUGGAAACGACUGCUAAUACCGCAUAAGCCCACGACCCGGCAUCGGGUUGAGGGAAAAGGAGCAAUCCGCUUUGAGAUGGCCUCGCGUCCGAUUAGCUGGUUGGUGAGGUAACGGCCCACCAAGGCAACGAUCGGUAGCCGGACUGAGAGGUUGAACGGCCACAUUGGGACUGAGACACGGCCCAGACUCCUACGGGAGGCAGCAGUGGGGAAUAUUGCACAAUGGGGGAAACCCUGAUGCAGCGACGCCGCGUGGAGGAAGAAGGUCUUCGGAUUGUAAACUCCUGUUGUUGAGGAAGAUAAUGACGGUACUCAACAAGGAAGUGACGGCUAACUACGUGCCAGCAGCCGCGGUAAAACGUAGGUCACAAGCGUUGUCCGGAAUUACUGGGUGUAAAGGGAGCGCAGGCGGGAAGACAAGUUGGAAGUGAAAUCUAUGGGCUCAACCCAUAAACUGCUUUCAAAACUGUUUUUCUUGAGUAGUGCAGAGGUAGGCGGAAUUCCCGGUGUAGCGGUGGAAUGCGUAGAUAUCGGGAGGAACACCAGUGGCGAAGGCGGCCUACUGGGCACCAACUGACGCUGAGGCUCGAAAGUGUGGGUAGCAAACAGG
rnacentral:rRNA from 1 species